rnacentral:lncRNA from 1 species
AUGCAGCCAAACACAGCCAGGGGCACUGCACCCAGGCUGGCUGGCAGGCUACCUGUGUCCCCCUCCCUCCCUCCCUCCCUUCCUCAGAACCAGUGCCACAAUUUUCUGUCUCCCCACUCAAAAAUAAUCUCAGAGCCCAGCUUCAGAUGCCUCCUGCCUGGUCCCCCAAGUUCUGUCCACAGAGGAGCCCUUGGGCAUUUUCAGGCUUCCCACUUCCACCCUUGGGAUGGCAGGUCCUGUCCCCUUGAACUCUCCCUCUCCCCUUUUCUCUCUCCCCCUUCUCUUUCCUCCCUGUGCUUGGCUUCGUCCUCAAGCAAGACCUUCCACCCCCCACCCCGUUCCCCUUCCUCUUCUCCCUUUCCCACAUUUGUUCCUCCCCAUAACUUCCUUCUUUUCCUUCUCUUUUUCCUCCUCCUCACUUCUCUUCCCCCUCUUUACUGCCUCUACCAACCCUCCGUCCAUCACGUCCAUCACGUAAGAGGAGGGGAAGAGGGAAUGGGGCAUUCUCACCAGCCCCUUGGUCAGCAUGACUUCUCCUCUCCACUCCAAAGAGGAGGAGGAGGGGGAAAGAGGAGGAGGAAAGAGAAGAGGAAGGCACCAGCCGAAAGAACAGCACUGCACCAGUGGGGGAAAGGGGGGGGAGAGAACCAGGACCCCCUGCUCUUCCCCUCCCUCCUCCCCUCCCUCCGCCAAGGAAAUCUCAUCAGGAUAGCAGCUGUGGCCCCUGCUGUACUAUGGUCAGAAGGCUUCUUGGAAGCAGACGGAGUUUCAAGGAGCGAUUGUGUGGUGUUUCAAAGCUAUUUAUGCAUAACAUAAAUGUCAUCUGCUAAGAGCAUUUGUACCUCUUCUUGGUAUCAGUUCACUAGAACAAUAAGCUGCUGGCCAGUUUCGGGCACCCCAGGAGUCCGCCUGGCCUGCAGGGUCCUCUGCAGAAGUCAUCUGGUUCAUCCUAGGAAGACUGGAUAAGCACGUUCAACCUCAGAGGACAAUCAUCCAGAUACUCUCCAAGACGUCCUGGCCUGCUCCCUCAAUGGAUCAAAACCAGUGUUUGGAGACCUUGCUUUUCUCAUUUCAAACUAUGCCUAUUCUGCAGCCAGGAUGGCCACUGGCAGGAGGUGACGGCAGGAGAUUCUUGGGGUGGGGUAGGCACGCUCUAGGCCAAAUAAAGAGUAUCUUUUCCAAGCUCUAGGCUGGCUG